rnacentral:rRNA from 1 species
GGGUUGUGAGGUUAAGCGACUAAGCGUACACGGUGGAUGCCCUGGCAGUCAGAGGCGAUGAAGGGCGUGCUAAUCUGCGAUAAGCGCCGGUAAGGUGAUAUGAACCGUUAUAACCGGCGAUACCCGAAUGGGGAAACCCAGUGUGAUUCGUCACACUAUCAUUAACUGAAUCCAUAGGUUAAUGAGGCGAACCGGGGGAACUGAAACAUCUAAGUACCCCGAGGAAAAGAAAUCAACCGAGAUUCCCCCAGUAGCGGCGAGCGAACGGGGAGGAGCCCAGAGCCUGAAUCAGCAUGUGUGUUAGUGGAAGCGUCUGGAAAGGCGCGCGAUACAGGGUGACAGCCCCGUACACAAAAGCGCAUGUGCUGUGAGCUCGAUGAGUAGGGCGGGACACGUGGUAUCCUGUCUGAAUAUGGGGGGACCAUCCUCCAAGGCUAAAUACUCCUGACUGACCGAUAGUGAACCAGUACCGUGAGGGAAAGGCGAAAAGAACCCCGGCGAGGGGAGUGAAAAAGAACCUGAAACCGUGUACGUACAAGCAGUGGGAGCACCCUUCGGGGUGUGACUGCGUACCUUUUGUAUAAUGGGUCAGCGACUUAUAUUCUGUAGCAAGGUUAACCGAAUAGGGGAGCCGUAGGGAAACCGAGUCUUAAC